rnacentral:rRNA from 1 species
CCUACGGGUGGCAGCAGUGAGGAAUAUUGGUCAAUGGACGCGAGUCUGAACCAGCCAUGCCGCGUGAAGGAUGACGGCUCUAUGAGUUGUAAACUUCUUUUAUACGAGGAUAAUAUCAGAUCCGUGUAGCUUCUUGUAAGUAUCGUACGAAUAAGGCUCGGCUAACUCCGUGCCAGCAGCCGCGGUAAUACGGAGGAUCCGAGCGUUAUCCGGAUUUAUUGGGUUUAAAGGGUGCGUAGGUGGUUUUUUAAGUUAGAGGUGAAAAUUUGGGGCUCAACGCCGGAAGUGCAUUUAAUACUGGAUGACUAGAGAAUAGAUGAGGUAGGCGGAAUGUAUGGUGUAGCGGUGAAAUGCGUAGAGAUCAUACAGAACACCGAUUGCGAAGGCAGCUUACCAAACUAUAACUGACGCUGAGGCACGAAAGUGUGGGGAGCAAACAGGAUUAGAUACCCUAGUAGUC